ensembl:snRNA Gm23378 U6 spliceosomal RNA
AUACUCACUUAGGCAACACAUGUAUUAAAAUUUGAACAAUGCAGAGAUUAGCAUGGCCCCUGCACAAGGAUGACAUGCAAAUUAUCAAAGCAUUUGAUAUUUUU